rnacentral:rRNA from 1 species
AUUGUAGGCUGAAACUCGCCUACAUGAAGCUGGAGUUGCUAGUAAUCGCGAAUCAGCAUGUCGCGGUGAAUACGUUCCCGGGCCUUGUGCACACCGCCCGUCACACCAUGAGAGUUGGCAAUACCCAACGUACGUGAUCUAACCCGCAAGGGAGGAAGCGUCCUAAGGUAGGGUCAGCGAUUGGGGUGAAGUCGUAACAAGGUAUC